AUAGGUCGUGUGGAGUUGGUUUGGAGGCACAUGCCUAUUGCUAUCUGAGGCUGCGUAGUCGUGGCUUCCCUAGGGUUCUGCGUCUGAAGAUCUUGUGGUCCGAGAGAUGCUAUCGUCUAUGGCAGUAUAUCCUCUUCCUUUGAGACAUCUCCCUGUCUGUCUCUCCCUACCGUAAAUCAGCUUAAAGUUACCCGAGUCAAUCAUGUGGCUCUAUGUUUGUUUUGAUUCCGCUGUUUCGACUCUUGAUUGUUUCCCAACGAUUAGAG
rnacentral:lncRNA from 1 species